rnacentral:piRNA from 1 species
UGCUAAUCUGCUAUUUGAAAUUGCUAUUUAG